UGCCACCCUACGAAAAUUUCUCUAGAUCCGCCCCUGAUGGAGCGACCUCUCCUCUCAGAAGUGUUCCAGCGCGGGAGGCAGCCGCACCUGCAGCUCAUCAAGCCAUCACCUGCUGUGCUGAUUACCUUCUCCAUGAGCAUCCUAUUUAGCAGUACGACUGAGCUUCAGUCAACGAUAGAUUAUUGAGUUUAUGUCAGGGUCCCUGUGCCUACCCGGUCGGCUCAGUAUGGCUACAUGUUUUUGUUUUCAUUUUGCUCCUGCUCUCUCUCUUCCUCCCUUUCCCUCCUCCCUCUGCCUGGGCGGAGCUCACCUGUGGGCUCCCGCCCUUGGCCCAAGCACCUGGUCGCAAUGACACACCUGUGGCUCAUCACGAGAGUGUUCCAGCUCCUUCAUAAGAUGGCAGCUUUGUGUUUCUCGUCGCUGGACCGUUGCCGACUCUCAUUCCCUGGACCAACCCCUGUGUUACCUGAGCGAUCGAGCAUGCGAGGUGUGGAGUAAGCUAUCGUGUUUUCUGUGGAGCGUGAAGAGGAGCGUGAGGCGUGGACGGAGUGUGUGUGGACUGUCAGCGUCUUUCCCCAUUCGUGUGUGGACCCCCGGAGCCCGUCCUUCCCCUCACUUUGUAAAUAGAUCACCCGGUGUUGCUGUAAUAAAGACUGUUGUGUUUUCGAA